GAUGAACGCUGGCGGCGUGCCUAAUACAUGCAAGUCGAACGCACAGCGAAAGGUGCUUGCACCUUUCAAGUGAGUGGCGAACGGGUGAGUAACACGUGGAUAACCUACCUCAAGGUUGGGGAUAACAUUUGGAAACAGAUGCUAAUACCGAAUAAAACUUAGUAUCGCAUGAUACCAGGUUAAAAGGCGCUGCGGCGUCACCUAGAGAUGGAUCCGCGGUGCAUUAGUAGUUGUAGGUAAAGGCUUACCAAGACAAUGAUGCAUAGCCGAGUUGAGAGACUGAUCGGCCACAUUGGGACUGAGACACGGCCCAAACUCCUACGGGAGGCUGCAGUAGGGAAUCUUCCACAAUGGGCGAAAGCCUGAUGGAGCAACGCCGCGUGUGUGAUGAAGGC
rnacentral:rRNA from 1 species